GCGGACGUGGUGGAACUGGUAGACACGCUAGAUUUAGGCUCUAGUGAGAAUUAUCUUGUGAGAGUUCGAAUCUCUCCGUCCGCA
rnacentral:tRNA from 1 species